GGUUGUGGUUCAGUGGUAGAGCACUUGCCUGGCAUGCACAAGGCACUGGUUUUGAUCCCCAGCACCA
rnacentral:tRNA from 1 species